GACAGAGGGUGCAAACGUUGUUCGGAAUUACUGGGCGUAAAGCGCGUGUAGGCGGCCGCGUGUGUCGGGCGUGAAAUCCCACGGCUCAACCGUGGAAGUGCACUCGAAACUGCGCAGCUAGAGUCCUGGAGAGGAAGGUGGAAUGCUUGGUGUAGAGGUGAAAUUCGUAGAUAUCAAGCGGAACACCGGUGGCGAAGGCGGCGACCUGGUCUGUGACUGACGCUGAGGCGCGAAAGCGUGGGGAGCAAACAGG
rnacentral:rRNA from 1 species